rnacentral:piRNA from 1 species
UAGGCACAGCUUAUAUUCUUC